GAUGAACGCUGGCGGCGUGCCUAACACAUGCAAGUCGAGCGAUUCUCUUCGGAGAAGAGCGGCGGACGGGUGAGUAACGCGUGGGUAACCUGCCCUGUACACACGGAUAACAUACCGAAAGGUAUGCUAAUACGAGAUAAUAUGCUUUAGUCGCAUGGCUGAAGUAUCAAAGCUCCGGCGGUACAGGAUGGACCCGCGUCUGAUUAGCUAGUUGGUAAGGUAACGGCUUACCAAGGCGACGAUCAGUAGCCGACCUGAGAGGGUGAUCGGCCACAUUGGAACUGAGACACGGUCCAAACUCCUACGGGAGGCAGCAGUGGGGAAUAUUGCACAAUGGGCGAAAGCCUGAUGCAGCAACGCCGCGUGAGCGAUGAAGGCCUUCGGGUCGUAAAGCUCUGUCCUCAAGGAAGAUAAUGACGGUACUUGAGGAGGAAGCCCCGGCUAACUACGUGCCAGCAGCCGCAGUAACAC
rnacentral:rRNA from 1 species